GACCGGCUCACGGGUGAGUAACACGUAUGCAACCUGCCCGCCACAGGGGGAUAAGCGGAAGAAAUUCCGUCUAAUACCGCGUGACGCGGCGCCGGGGCAUCCCGGUGCCGCCAAAGGGAUUACCGGUGGCGGAUGGGCAUGCGGCGCAUUAGCUAGUCGGCGGGGUAACGGCCCACCGAGGCGACGAUGCGUAGGGGUUCUGAGAGGAAGGUCCCCCACACUGGUACUGAGACACGGACCAGACUCCUACGGGAGGCAGCAGUGAGGAAUAUUGGUCAAUGGGCGGGAGCCUGAACCAGCCAAGUCGCGUGAGGGAUGACGGUCCUACGGAUUGUAAACCUCUUUUGCCGGGGAGCAAGCGUGCGUUCGUGAACGCGCGUCGAGAGUACCCGGAGAAAAAGCAUCGGCUAACUCCGUGCCAGCAGCCGCGGUAAUACGGAGGAUGCGAGCGUUAUCCGGAUUUAUUGGGUUUAAAGGGUGCGUAGGCGGGAUGCCAAGUCAGCGGUAAAAAUGCGGUGCUCAACGCCGUCGAGCCGUUGAAACUGGCGUUCUUGAGUGGGCGAGAAGUAUGCGGAAUGCGUGGUGUAGCGGUGAAAUGCAUAGAUAUCACGCAGAACUCCGAUUGCGAAGGCAGCAUACCGGCGCCCUACUGACGCUGAGGCACGAAAGCGUGGGUAUCGAACAGGAUUAGAUACCCUGGUAGUCCACGCAGUAAACGAUGAAUGCUAACUGUCCGGCGCGAAUGAGCGCUGGGCGGUACAGCGAAAGCGUUA
rnacentral:rRNA from 1 species